rnacentral:misc_RNA from 1 species
AAAAAAAUAUUAAAAAAAAAAAACAAAAGAAUGUGUGCAAAAGUGCUUCUUCUCCUUGGCCUUCAUUGCACCAAAAUCAAUACUUGCAAUUUCCAUAGCUUGGAUCCAAGCUGCUGAUAGCACCAGUUUGUUGAAAAUCACAAUCAUAAUCAUUCCUUCCCAUGGCUUGAUAAUAUGCAUUCAUGGCGAAUGCUGCAUGUGCCCUUACUGUGUUAGGCAGGAAGCACUCACCACCAUCUACAAUGGGUCCACAGUCCAUUCCCAUCCCACACACAUAAUCAAUAUUCCUCUGCAGAGCCUCUAUAUCUGCUCCUGUUUUAGGAAGACACCACCGUUUCCCCUGUUGCAGUGGCGCCCCUGCAGGCUCUUGACUCACCGGUGCAACGACCGGCGGCUCCGGGGUUGGGUUCCUUGGAAAUGAUGAACUAGCCUGUCAAGAACAGAAACCAGCACCAGUCAAACAAUGAUCAUAUGCAACACAUGAAUUGCUCACAAACAAAGCAUUUUUUCACCAUGAUUAUGAACAACAAGAAGGCCGAUUGUAACGAUUAACAAAUAUGUAAGAUGGUGGUAUGUGGCAGCGGCGGCUACCGUGGACCGGAGGAUUCCGAUAUUGUACACUGGUGUCAUGUCUGGCCGAAACAAUCCAAAAUUCCGCUCGCAAGUAGGUCCAGGCUUGAGAUUUUCGUUGAAGAGAGCGAAAAUGUAAGUCUCAAAAGUCCGGUUUGGCAUGAGAGGAGUUCCAGCACCAGACAUUACAUGCUUCAUGAGAUUUCCAUUGUACUGAGCUGCACUUUCUGCAUCAACACCAACUUGUGAUGAAUCUCCAUUAGAAGGCCACCCGGUUUCAGCUAUAACUAUAUCAAUAUCAGUGAAACCAAGAAGUUUCAUAGCUGAAAAGACUGCAUCAAGUUGCCCAUCUAACAUGUUUGUGUAAACAAGUUUGGUGUUUUCAUCUUCCACUCCAGGAUUAGCCCUGAAAAGUGCAUAAUCCAGAGUAUCUUCCGAGCAUCCGAAAAAUGGAUAUGGAUUGAUCAUGAAAGGUGAAUUGGUGUCUCUAAGGAAGCUAAGCAAUGGUUUAAGCACAUGAAUAUCAUAGCCUUGUCGAAAUUUUCCAGUCGAAGGUGGGCUUGAAGUUGAGAGAAUGCCUAAAGAAUGAGGUGUAGAGACUUUAAUUUUAGUGUCUAAUGAUGCUCCAACAAGGGCUGCGUGGAGGGUUCGCAUUGCUGGAACGAGGCUUGCUAUUAUCAAUUUGUUUGCAGUUGAUAAAACUUCAUUGCCAACUAAAAUUCUGAUGAUAUUAGUGGCAGGAACAUAAGGUUGGAUGUUGGAUUUUAACCAUUCUUGAGCAUUGCUCAGCUUGGCAAGGUGAGGGAUUUGAUCAUUAGGGACAGUGACUGUGACUGCAAUCCCAGUAUGAGCAAAUGCUUCUAAGAUUUCGGUAUUCGUAUCGAACAGUCUAACACGGUCGAUAAUGGUGGAUUCUACAAGAAAAUGAGCUACUUGUGCUGGUGGAGGAAGGUUGUUUGCCACAGUACCAUAAUUGACUCCAAUAGCACCUUCAACUCCUUGAAUUAGAGUUGAUUCAAGAAGCAGAAGAGCAGUGACCACUGAAGCACAGAGAGAAGCCAAGCUUUUCUCCAUAACUUUGAUUUGGGGAGGUGAAGAUUGAUGAGAAUGGUGACUAUUGGAGUGCAGCAAUGUUUCAAGAAUAAGUGAACUUGGAGAUGCCUUUCUUUGCUAGUAGGAAAUUCUUUGUGCAAAUUGUAAGAGAACUUUGUUCUGUGUGUGCUUACUUUCCCUUAGAAUUUUAACUUUCCCUUUGAACCUGUUAUAUGAUAUUAAUUUAUUAAUUUUGAAUAGUGACUUAGGAUACUAAAAGCUAGCAAG